rnacentral:snRNA from 1 species
GGUGAACAGCCUCUGGUCGAUG